CAGUAGCCGCGGUAAUACGAGGGGGGCAAGCGUUGUUCGGAAUUAUUGGGCGUAAAGGGUGCGUAGGCGGUUUGAUAAGUCAUCUGUGAAAUCUCUGGGCUCAACCCAGAGUCUGCAGGCGAAACUGUCGAGCUUGAGUAUUGGAGAGGUGAGUGGAAUUUCCGGUGUAGCGGUGAAAUGCGUAGAUAUCGGAAGGAACACCUGUGGCGAAAGCGGCUCACUGGACAAUUACUGACGCUGAUGCACGAAAGCUAGGGGAGCAAACAGGAUUAGAUACCCGCGUAGUCCCUGUCUCUUAUAA
rnacentral:rRNA from 1 species